rnacentral:lncRNA from 1 species
CCUACACUAAUUGAGAUUCCAUCUAGCAAUGAUUUUCGAUGUCUAGAUAGAUUGAAUUAUCAUAAAAAAAUAUUUCAAAAUUCAUCCACAUGGUUAUCGCAUAAUUCAUCCUUUUGACCCUAAAUGCUCUAGGAUGGUCUCAGGUUAAUUGUCAAUUGAGAUUGCUUUAUCCGUAUUAUAUUUCAACUUUUCAAAUCCAUCUCAUAGAUUACUCUGGCCA